CCUACGGGAGGCAGCAGUGAGGAAUAUUGGUCAAUGGACGGAAGUCUGAACCAGCCAUGCCGCGUGCAGGAAGACGGCUCUAUGAGUUGUAAACUGCUUUUGUACAAGGGUAAACCUGAAUACGUGUAUUCAGCUGAAAGUACUGUACGAAUAAGGAUCGGCUAACUCCGUGCCAGCAGCCGCGGUAAUACGGAGGAUCCAAGAGUUAUCCGGAUUUAUUGGGUUUAAAGGGUGCGUAGGCGGAUUGAUAAGUUAGAGGUUAAAUGUGCGAGCUUAACUCGGGAACGGCCUAUAAUACUGUUGAUCUAGAGAGUAGAUGCGGUAGGCGGAAUGUAUGGUGUAGCGGUGAAAUGCUUAGAGAUCAUACAGAACACCGAUUGCGAAGGCAGCUUACCAAUCUAUAUCUGACGUUGAGGCACGAAAGCGUGGGGAGCAAACAGGAUUAGAUACCCUUGUAGUC
rnacentral:rRNA from 1 species